rnacentral:rRNA from 1 species
UACGGGGGGAGCAAGCGUUGUUCGGAUUUACUAGGCGUAAAGGGCGCGUAGGCGGUGCGGUAAGUCACCUGUGAAAUCUCCUGGCUCAACUGGGAGCUUGCAGGCGAAACUGCCGUGCUGGAGUGUGGGAGAGGUGCGUGGAAUUCCUGGUGUAGCGGUGAAAUGCGUAGAUAUCAGGAGGAACACCUGUGGCGAAAGCGGCGCACUGGACCACAACUGACGCUGAGGCGCGAAAGCUAGGGGAGCAAACAGG